rnacentral:rRNA from 1 species
UACAGAGGUCUCAAGCGUUGUUCGGAAUUAUUGGGCGUAAAGAGCUCGUAGGCGGUCUGUUGCGUCCGCUGUGAAAACUCGGGGCUUAACCCCGAGCCUGCAGUGGAUACGGGCAGACUAGAGGUAGGUAGGGGAGAAUGGAAUUCCCGGUGUAGCGGUGAAAUGCGCAGAUAUCGGGAGGAACACCGGUGGCGAAGGCGGUUCUCUGGGCCUUACCUGACGCUGAGGAGCGAAAGCGUGGGGAGCGAACAGG